GAUGAACGCUGGCGGCGUGCCUAAUACAUGCAAGUCGAGCGAACGGACGAGAAGCUUGCUUCUCUGAUGUUAGCGGCGGACGGGUGAGUAACACGUGGAUAACCUACCUAUAAGACUGGGAUAACUUCGGGAAACCGUAGCUAAUACCGGAUAAUAUUUUGAACCGCAUGGUUCAAUAGUGAAAGACGGUCUUGCUGUCACUUAUAGAUGGAUCCGCGCUGCAUUAGCUAGUUGGUAAGGUAACGGCUUACCAAGGCAACGAUGCAUAGCCGACCUGAGAGGGUGAUCGGCCACACUGGAACUGAGACACGGUCCAGACUCCUACGGGAGGCAGCAGUAGGGAAUCUUCCGCAAUGGGCGAAAGCCUGACGGAGCAACGCCGCGUGAGUGAUGAAGGUCUUCGGAUCGUAAAACUCUGUUAUUAGGGAAGAACAUAUGUGUAAGUAACUGUGCACAUCUUGACGGUACCUAAUCAGAAAGCCACGGCUAACCACGUG
rnacentral:rRNA from 1 species